AAUGGCUGCAGUAAUAUAACUGUACAAAGGUAGCAUAAUCAUUAGUUUUUUAAUUAAAAGCUUGUAUGAAAGGUUGGACGAAGUAAAAUCUGUCUCUUUUUAAUAUAAUUAGAAUUUAAUUUUUAAGUAAAAAAGCUUAAAUUUAUAUAAAAGACGAGAAGACCCUAUAGAGUUUAAUAAUUAAUUUUAAAUAAUUAAUUUAGAUUUAUUUAUUUUAUUUAUUAUAAAAUUAUUUUAUUGGGGUAAUAAAAAGAUUAAUAUAAUUCUUUUUUUUUAUUACAUUAAUUUAUGAAUUAAAUGAUCCAUUUUUAUGAUUAAAAGAUUAAAUUACCUUAGGGAUAACAGCGUAAUUUUUUUAAAGAGUUCAUAUCGAUAAAAAAGUUUGCGACCUCGAUGUUGGAUUAAAGAUUAGUUUAGGUGUAGAAUUUUAAAUUUUUGGUCUGUUCGACCAUUAAAUCUUUACAUGAUCUGAGUUCAAACCGGUGUAAGCCAGGUUGGUUUCUAUCUUUAUAGAAUUUUUAUAUUUUAGUACGAAAGGACCAAAUAUUUAAUAUAUGAAUAUUUAAUAUUUUGAAUAU
rnacentral:rRNA from 1 species